GCCAGAAAGUGUCAUGGCAUUUGAUGAAAACCACGUCCCUUACAGAGAAGGAGAGAGCACUUCUGGCUGAGCUGAGAGAGAGGCUUCAUGGAAGAGCUGAUUCUAAAGUUCGCUGAGCAUUUUCAUGGGCACAACCUCAUCUGAUCAUUAUGGCAACACUGUGGGGCCUUGAAAUCAUGGCAGCAGCAAGACCCAACUGGGGCAGCAUCAUGUCUGGGUUUGAAUCCCGGUUCAGCCACUUUCCAGCUGUGUGAUGUGGGGCAAGUCAGAAAGAAGCUGGAAGCUCAAGCCUGACUAUAGGACCAGCACAGCCCCUGGCCAGCCGCAUGCUGCAGAGGCUCUGGCUGACUGUCUCUGCUCGCCUGUUCUGUUGUUUGCAUGUUCUCAGAAUAGGAGACCCCUAAAGACAGAAACUGCAUGUGUCCUGCGCAGGAAAUCUUGUAUUGGCCCUCUCAGCAGCCUUCUGGUUCCAAACCCUAUGGAAACUGCGCUCACCAAGUCAGCAGAGGCCUCCUCCUCUCAGCCUCAACUUCUUGGGGGAAAUUGGUUCUAGGGCCAGCAAGACUUCCAAAGAGCCUCUUCCCAGCAGGUUCAACCUCCCAUCAUCUGAAAGUCUUUCUGCUCCCCUCAGGGAUCCCCCACCAAGCCCUCUGCCCCUGAAGGUUGGUGCUCUGAGGGCAUCCUCCUCUCUCUGUGCACUCGCCAUCAGAGUGGUUUAGCUCCCCUUGUUCCAAUUCCAGUUGGCCACAAGCAGCUCCCAAGUCAAUUUCUCUGGUUCACUGUCCAUUAGUUGACCCAGCUAGAACCCCACCCCUGGCUCCUGACGCCUCUCCUGCUGGACUCUUCAGCAUGUUGGAUGAAGGCCAUUAGUGCUGAACUCACCAUACUCUUCCAAGAUCUGCCUGCUCCUCCCCAUCACCCCAGAGCAAGCCCUUGGCUCCUCUCCCCUUCCUAGAAACUCCCACCAGUGUUGUCAGUUCUCUUGGGUCAUGAUUCCUUAAAAAUGAACACAGAAUCUAAUUUUAUUUUCAAAACAUGAAAACAGUUCACCAUUUAACUUUGCUCUUAUUAAGUCUAUUAUCCUGAUUCAUCCUCUUUGGUAUUAAAGUCAAUAAAUCGUAUAAAUCUUGAAACUUUUUUAACUCAGAAAAAUAAAUUCUGUUAUGACAAUCCUUGACAUGUUAAUCUGUGUUGUGUAAACUGUUAGCUUUAAAACACAAAAUGCUUUUUUUAACAUGGUUGUGUCUUAGAAACUUCCUGCACAUCAUUGUGCUUGCUUUUAGUAACAGCAGACUAGGUAAUGGUGAUCAACCUUCUUGCUGAGGGCAACUAGAAGAGCUAUAUAUUUUUUUAAAAACUACCACUACCACCACAACACCAGACCAUUUGAAGCAUCUGAGCACUAAUAAGACAAACAAGAUAGUAGACAAUUAUUGAGCUAGGAUAUGGAGAGGACUGAGACUAGGGAGGUGAGCUUGGCUUAUUUUUUUUUGAGACAGGGUCUUACUCUGUUGCUCAGGCUGGGGUGCACUGAUGUGAUCACAGCUCACUGCAGCCUUAACCUCCUCAGCUCAAGCAAUCCUUUUGCCUCAGCCUCCUGAGUAGGUGGGGUCACAGGUGUGCACCACCACACUCAGCUAAUUAAAAUUUUUUUUGUAGAGAUAGGGUCUUGCUAUGUUGCCCAGGCUGGUCUGGAACACCUGGCCCAAGUGAUCCUCCUGCCUCAGCCUCCCAAACUGCUGGGCUUAUAGACUUAAGUCACUGCACCUGGCUGAGCUUGGCUUUUAAAUGCUUUUCCUCUGGGAAUGGAGGGAGUGAGUGACUGAGAGGUUGAAAGGUUAAUCAGCGCUUUUGAGGAUCUGGGGAUAUGAGACAAAGCCUACCAAGAGGAGUAUUUGGUAAACCUCCUUGCUUUGGAUUGAGACCCCAAAGGGCUGUGCCUGAGGACUAAGGAUAAACUGGAAGUAGACAGGUUCUUACAGUGACUGCCGCUCUGCUUAGACUCAUCUCAAUUCCUGAAAUUGGAUUAAGGCGAUCCAAUGUUGCUAGUGCCCUCAGGGUCUUGCAAAUCCUCUCUGGAAGAAGAUGUCAUCCUGGUGUCAGAUAAUUUCUACAAACAACUUUGCACCUGCAAUGUCCAGAACACACACACACACACACACACACACACACACACAAACAAAAACAACUCACAAAAAAACAAAUAAAACACACACAUACACACAACAAACCAAAACCAACACCAAAAACCAAACACAUGAGACUGGACAACAUGAACAAACAUAAAAGCAUAUACAGCAGGGGUUCUAGAUGUUGGAAUUAUCAGAUGCAGAUUUUAUAAUUAAAAAAACAGCAAUGCUUAUUAUGUUCAAAGAGAUAAAAAUACAUGAUGGAAAUAGACAUGGUUUGAGAAUUUUGGCAGGGAAUUGAAACUUUGUUAAAAAAAUUAAAAUUCUAGAACUGAAAAUUAUAAUACCCAAGACUAAGGAUUCAAUGGAUAGGUUUAAAAGUAUAUGAAACAUAGCUGAAGAAAGAAUUACUGAAUUAGAAGCUAGAUUAGAAAAAAUAUCCAGGCCAGACAUAGUAGCUCACGCCUGUAAUCCCAUCACUUUGGGAGGCCGAGGUGGGUGGAUCACUUGAGGUCAGGAGUUUGAGACCAGCCUGGCCAACAUGGUGAAACCCUGUCUCUGCUAAAAAUACAAAAAUUAGCUGGGUGUGGUGGUGCAUUCCUGUGGUUCCAACGACUUGGGAGGCUGAGGCAGGAGAAUCGCUUGAACCCAGGAGGCAGAGGUUGCAGUGAGUCGAGAUCAUGUCACUGCACUCCAGCCUGGGUGACAGAGUGAGACUCCAUCU
rnacentral:lncRNA from 1 species